AGUGAACGCUGGCGGUAGGCCUAACACAUGCAAGUCGAACGGCAGCACAGUAAGAGCUUGCUCUUACGGGUGGCGAGUGGCGGACGGGUGAGGAAUACAUCGGAAUCUACUUUUUCGUGGGGGAUAACGUAGGGAAACUUACGCUAAUACCGCAUACGACCUACGGGUGAAAGCAGGGGAUCUUCGGACCUUGCGCGAUUGAAUGAGCCGAUGUCGGAUUAGCUAGUUGGCGGGGUAAAGGCCCACCAAGGCGACGAUCCGUAGCUGGUCUGAGAGGAUGAUCAGCCACACUGGAACUGAGACACGGUCCCGACUCCUACGGGAGGCAGCAGUGGGGAAUAUUGGACAGUGGGCGCAAGCCUGAUCCAGCCAUACCGCGUGGGUGAAGAAGGCCUUCGGGUUGUAAAGCCCUUUUGUUGGGAAAGAAAAGCAGCAGGUUAAUACCCCGCUGUUCUGACGGUACCCAAAGAAUAAGCACCGGCUAACUUCGU
rnacentral:rRNA from 1 species